rnacentral:ncRNA from 1 species
AAAACGACUAUGAUGGAGAAGAGUACCGUAAUCAAGAGGUAACAGAGAGAAGCUGCCAUCGGCUGUAAGCAGCUUUUACUUUCGGGGAACGGGAAGUGCACUCCGGAGUCUGCAGGGAGAACGAAGAAGCAGCUUCUGAUAUCCGGGCACGUCUGGUCACGUUAUCGACUGUAAGGGAAAGACAUUAUUGUCUUUAAGUAGAGUGGAACCGCGGAAUAUUUCGUCUCUGUA